rnacentral:rRNA from 1 species
ACANGCCUAACACAUGCAAGUCGAACGGUAACAGGAAGCAGCUUGCUGCUUUGCUGACGAGUGGCGGACGGGUGAGUAAUGUCUGGGAAACUGCCUGAUGGAGGGGGAUAACUACUGGAAACGGUAGCUAAUACCGCAUAACGUCAGCAAGACCAAAUGAGUGGGGACCUUCGAGGCCUCUNNGCCAUCGGAUGUGCCCAAGAUAGGAGAUUAGCUAGUANAGUAGGAGGUAACAGAGCUCACCUAGGGACGACAGAUCCCUAGCUGGUACUAGAGAGGAUGACCAGACACACUGGAACUGAGACACGGUACCAGACUACCUACGGGAGGCAGCAGUGGGGAAUAUUGCACAAUGGGCGCAAAGCCUGAUAGCAGCCAUGNCCAGCGUAGUAAUAGAAGAAGGCCUA